UCAUUAUUAAUCCUCCAAAUAGGUGAUUUAAAAUUCGUUGUAAUGGAUCAAAGGUAACCCAGAAUUCUUUUGAGAUUUUAUCAAACAUAAUAUAGCAUGAAGAGAUCUCAUAUGACGAAAUAUUUCCAAGGAUUUUCCAGUAGCUCGGGGUAGAUCGGAAAAAUAUCUCAAGCCUCCUUUAAAGAAAAGGAGGAUUUCAUGGUACAUGAGACUGAUCCAGGAUGAUGAUAAUGAUGAUGAUGAUGAUGAAUGGGCUCCUCUUGUGAUUUUGAAGAACAAUGAAAAGAUUAAAAUGAAGGUGUUACGUUAGCCGAUAACUAUGAUGGAGAUGUCGAUGAUGAAUAGGCUUCUCUGCAGUAUACUCUGUCGUAUGUUGUAGAGUAUUCCCAAGGAUUUUAAAGUAGCUCACGGUUUGAUCGUGAAAAUAUCUCAAUUCUUUAGAGAUGAAAGGGGGAUUUCAUGGUCCGUGUGACUGAUCCAGGAUAGUGGUCAAAUGCUCUUUGGACGUGGUUGGCUUGAGUUCUUUUAUGGAAAUCUCUUGAAAGAAAUGUAGAAGAGUUAAAAAUGCAAUUAUGUUUGAUGUGAUUGUCUCAAUCUCAGCCACUUCCUUCUCCUCCUAUGAUGAUGAUGAUGAAUUGGCUCCUCUUGUGAUUUUGAAAAACAAUGACAAGAUUAGGUUGAAGGUAUUACGGAAGCCAAUAACCAUGAUGGAGAUGCCGCCGAUGAAGAGGCUCCUUUGCAACAUAUUUUGUUUAUUUUGCAUAGUAUUCCCAAGGACUUAGCAGUAGUGUUCUGAUCGGGAAAAUAUCUCAAGCCUUCUUUAGAGAUGAAAGGGGGAUUUGGUGGUCUGUGAGACUGAUCAAGGAUAAUGGUCAAAUGCGCUUUCGAGGUGGUUGGUUUGAAUUCUUAUUUAGAAAUCGU